CCCUUAGAUGUCCUGGGCCGCACGCGCGUUACACUGAUGCAUUCAACGAGCUUAUAACCUUGGCCGAGAGGCCUGGGCAAUCUUGUUAACGUGCAUCGUGAUAGGGAUAGAUUAUUGAAAUUAUUAAUCUUGAACGAGGAAUUCCUAGUAAACGCAGAUCAUCAAUCUGCAUUGAUUACGUCCCUGCCCUUUGUACACACCGCCCGUCGCACCUACCGAUUGGAUGGUCCGGUGAAGCUUCGGGAUUGUGGUUCUUGCCGCUUUAUUGUGGCGUGACCGCGAGAACUUGUCUAAACCUUAUCAUCUAGAGGAAGGUGAAGUCGUAACA
rnacentral:rRNA from 1 species